rnacentral:rRNA from 1 species
AUGAGUAAUGAUGUAAUCUCUAUCUGCUCCUGGAAUGUAUGUAGUCUGGGUGAUGAUGAUAAGUGUAACGCUGUCCUCUCUGAACUUUUAGCGAUCAACCCCCACGUUGCUCUCUUACAGGAAUCCAAACUAGAAUCCUACACCGACGCCAAGCUCCGCUCCUUUCUCCCCUUCCACCUCGACCAAGCCUUUCCUCUGCCCGCCAUUGGCACGGCCGGCGGUACCAUCACUGUCGUUAACUCCUCCUCUCUCCAGGUCAUCUCGCACUCGCACAAAAUUUUCUCCUCCGUCGUAACUCUAAGAUCAACUGCAUGUGCCCCCAACAUCAUCAUCACCAACAUCUACGCUCCCUCUACACGUGCCCUCAAACAAACUUUCUUCGACGAGCUCCGCUCCAUCGCGCAACCUGACCACGCUCCUUGACUUGUCCUUGGCGAUUUCAACCUCCUUUGCUUUCCCUCAGACAAAAACAACUCCUCCUUUCGACAGUCAGAAGCGAACGCUUUUAACCACGUUAUCGACACCUUAGCUCUCAUCGAACUGCCUCUCCUCGACCGACAAUUUACGUGGACCAACAACCGCUCCUCGCCCACUCUGGAAAGAAUCAAUCGUGCCUUUUUUAACCUAGCGUGGGCAUGCUUUCCCAACACCUCACUGUCCUCUCUCACACGUUUCACCUCUGACCAC